AGCCCACAAGCCGCGACAUCCACAUGUCGUGAACAUGGCCUGCGAAACGCCCUAGACGAAUCUGUCGUGACAUAGCCGCGACCACCUGAUGCUCCCGAAUCGGGAUGUUAAAAUGGAUGUUAAAAUGGGAGUCCCGAUGCUUACACGUCACGGCCUCCAUACGUCACGGCCGCAGCUUGCGAAAUCUCUUGGAUGGUUUCGUCGAAACCUUGCCGCAACCCGCUGCUAGCCGCGAAGAUCACUUGCGGUCUCCAUGGUCUGUUGAAGCCAUCACACGAUCCAUCUUCUCCGCCGCAAGUCCGCUUCUCUUGUCCACGCCAUGAAGCCGCUCUGCAUCUCGAGAUUGGAGAUCAUGGUUGGUCGUCUCUGUCUCCCCUGCUUUGCUCCACCACGAAGCUCUCUGCCGCGGCUCCUCCACGAAUCUGCAACUUUUCUCAGUUAUGGCAAGACCAAUCCCGAGCUCAAUUGUCGUCGUUAGCUCUCACCGGUGCUCAUCCUCGUCGUCUUGCUCUUAACCCGCCGUGGUAGCCGCCGGGAUCGUCGUCAACCAAUCCGGAGAACAAUCGAUCUCUCCAAUGGUGGGUUUUGGAGAUUUUGCAAGACAGGUCCCUGAACUUUUGAUAACUCCGUUUCUGACCCCAUACAUUGUAAAUUGCAACCAUUACCUCACGAUUUUGUUCCAAACUUCUCUAAAGUGCACUUUAGCCCUGUCAAAUGCAAAUGAACACACA
rnacentral:lncRNA from 1 species